AGGUCUAUGAUGACAAACCAAAGUCAUGAAGAGUGGUGAUGACAAAAAAAUCAUGCUCAAUAGGAUUAUGCUGAGACCC
ensembl:snoRNA SNORD115 Small nucleolar RNA SNORD115